AUAUAUUCAAUCUUAUAGUUAUAAAAUACAAUCCUCAAACAUAAAUUUCAAACAACGACCAAAUAAAACAAUACAUACAAUGACAACUACUUGACUCGACCAUCCGGAUUGUAUGAAUAUGUAUCUUAUGGUCGUUAGUGCACCCAGAUGGUGUAGUAACUGGAAACCCCUCACCUGCUACCCGAAGUUAGCCCGUUAUGCUUCACUUAAGGUCUUCCCCUUAGACUAGGGCCUCCUGCCAUUCUCACCACAUGAGUUAUCCAUUUCUACUUGAGAACUGGUAAUCAUUAGAAUUUCAAGAUGAACGUCGUGAAUUUCACUGUCCAUAUUCAUACUUUACCAAUUCAAUAACCA
rnacentral:lncRNA from 1 species